rnacentral:rRNA from 1 species
UCGAACGAUGAUGCCCAGCUUGCUGGGCGGAUUAGUGGCGAACGGGUGAGUAAUACGUGAGUAACCUGCCCUUGACUCUGGGAUAAGCCUGGGAAACUGGGUCUAAUACUGGAUACUACCUCUUACCGCAUGGUGGGUGGUGGAAAGGGUUUUACUGGUUUUGGAUGGGCUCACGGCCUAUCAGCUUGUUGGUGGGGUAAUGGCUCACCAAGGCGACGACGGGUAGCCGGCCUGAGAGGGUGACCGGCCACACUGGGACUGAGACACGGCCCAGACUCCUACGGGAGGCAGCAGUGGGGAAUAUUGCACAAUGGGCGGAAGCCUGAUGCAGCGACGCCGCGUGAGGGAUGACGGCCUUCGGGUUGUAAACCUCUUUCAGUAGGGAAGAAGCGAGAGUGACGGUACCUGCAGAAGAAGCGCCGGCUAACUACGUGCCAGCAGCCGCGGUAAUACGUAGGGCGCAAGCGUUGUCCGGAAUUAUUGGGCGUAAAGAGCUCGUAGGCGGUUUGUCGCGUCUGCUGUGAAAGCCCGGGGCUCAACCCCGGGUCUGCAGUGGGUACGGGCAGACUAGAGUGCAGUAGGGGAGACUGGAAUUCCUGGUGUAGCGGUGAAAUGCGCAGAUAUCAGGAGGAACACCGAUGGCGAAGGCAGGUCUCUGGGCUGUUACUGACGCUGAGGAGCGAAAGCAUGGGGAGCGAACAGGAUUAGAUACCCUGGUAGUCCAUGCCGUAAACGUUGGGCACUAGGUGUGGGGGACAUUCCACGUUUUCCGCGCCGUAGCUAACGCAUUAAGUGCCCCGCCUGGGGAGUACGGCCGCAAGGCUAAAACUCAAAGGAAUUGACGGGGGCCCGCACAAGCGGCGGAGCAUGCGGAUUAAUUCGAUGCAACGCGAAGAACCUUACCAAGGCUUGACAUUCACCGGACCGCCCCAGAGAUGGGGUUUCCCUUCGGGGCUGGUGGACAGGUGGUGCAUGGUUGUCGUCAGCUCGUGUCGUGAGAUGUUGGGUUAAGUCCCGCAACGAGCGCAACCCUCGUUCUAUGUUGCCAGCACGUGAUGGUGGGGACUCAUAGGAGACUGCCGGGGUCAACUCGGAGGAAGGUGGGGAUGACGUCAAAUCAUCAUGCCCCUUAUGUCUUGGGCUUCMGCAUGCUACAUGGCCGGUWCAAGGGUUGCGA